UACGGAGGGGGCUAGCGUUGUUCGGAAUUACUGGGCGUAAAGCGCACGUAGGCGGCUUUGUAAGUUAGAGGUGAAAGCCCGGGGCUCAACCCCGGAACUGCCCUCGAAACUAGGUAGCUAGAAUCUUGGAGAGGUCAGUGGAAUUCCGAGUGUAGAGGUGAAAUUCGUAGAUAUUCGGAAGAACACCAGUGGCGAAGGCGACUGACUGGACAAGUAUUGACGCUGAGGUGCGAAAGCGUGGGGGAGCAAACAGGG
rnacentral:rRNA from 1 species